UGCCCAGCACAGAGUGGUGCUCAACAAACCAUGUAGCAUGAAUGCUGAAUAAACUCUCUGGAAGUAUUCAUGGACAAUUUCCAGCAAAAAUCUUGAGAUGAAGCCUGAAUGUUCCUGAUCUAUCAGGGAUAAGAGAGCAGUGACCUCACACCAGUGGUUCGACUUUGGGAAAACUCCUAAGCCUCAGUUUCCUUAUCUGUAAGUGUUGAUAACACACAGUACAGCUCCAGGAUGUCGUGAGAAUGAAACAAAAAUCAUUUAGUAAUUCCUGCCUAAGCAUCAGAAGGGACUUGGAAGAUCCUCAACAUUUUUUGGUGUUGGAUAACGUGCGUGCUAUUUGAGAAGGCUGGACCCCACUGAGAGAAUGUAGAUGAGCAACCUGAGCAGACUAACACUCUGAGGAGAGGCAACUAAAACCCAAGCUGGUUCUAUGAAGGUGUUUAAAGAAUGACAUUCUGCUGCUGCCCAUGAUGACAAUGAUGAAGACAUUGGUGAUGUGAAACCCCAGGUGUCUGCGGAUGGAGGCGCCCCCUCCCUUUCCGUCUCCAGACCAACACACCGUCAUGCUCACCAUCUCCUUAGAGUGCAGAUCCCCCUGGGAGAUCACCAGGUGUACCAACAGGAAGUUUAUAUGACUUGCCUGAGGUGACACUAUUUUCAAAGACAGACCUGUAACUAUAAUCCUAGUCCAUGUCAUUUCUAUCCAGCCAAAUAGUCUCCUAAACCAAACUUUUGAUUCAUGGCUGUCUGCCAUUUUCUGGCGUGAUACACAUGGUAGGGUUUCCAUGUGUGAUGCCCUCAGAUUUCAAUAGCAUCUGAAACAUCCUACUAUUUGACCCGCUUGAACAGAGAUUGCUAGUCAUCUCCCAAAAAUCCUUUGUUGCUUUCCUCCUUGGUUACAGAACUCUGAACUUCUCUUGUAGCUUGGUGUGGCCUGUGUGAAUAAGUUCUGGCCAAAAGGAUGUAAGAGGAAGUGUGUAGGACCUUCUGGAAAAGUCCAUAAAGGGAUCCGAUCUGGCUGGGAUGUGCCUCCCUUUUGUCCUGGACCUCUGUUCUCCAUGCUCCUGUUCCUUCACACUAUCUGGAAGGUGGGAGGCCCUGGCAGCUGUUUAUACCAUAAGAUGAGAGUGAAGACAGAAACCAGAGCUAAGAUAGUGGGCAGAAGUACAAAGAAGGGGCCUGGGCUCCUGAUGACAUGGAGCCACUGCACCAAGGGACUGGGCAAGUCAGGAUGGUGUCAUCACUCAUGCAGCCCCACAGUCUAGAUCUAAAUCCCAUGAUGAAAGGAGCAGCAGGGGAUGCUAAAGGGGGUUUUCAGGCCUCUUGGUGAUUGGGACCCAUGAAGGCUGGUACAGGGCCUGGGGAACAAAACACCUCACAGAACUGGAGAGAGGCCUUCAUUCAUCCUACUUCUCUGUAGAACCCAGCCACAUCCCAGUGCAGGGAGACUGGAGGGCACACAGGGCCUUUGUGGUACCCCAUGUUAUCUGAGCUUUGGACCCCCCAGUGCCUGCCCCUAACCCCAUGCCCUCAGGUGAUGGGAGCGGCUGCAAGAACAGUGAGGGGCAGUGCCUCACAUGGCCUUGAGGGCAGCAACAUCAGCCAUGGAGCUGGGAUGGCUAGACAAAACUGGGGCUCAGAGUGUCCAGUCAUGCAGGCAGGACAUCACGGUGGUGAGAUCUGAAUGGUGACCUCGUUAUAGUCACAGGCUGGGGGCUUAGGGACAAGGGGCCCAUGCUGAUGACAGAGUGGCAUGGGAUGCCUCAGCCAGGAAAGCUGGGCUGACUUUAGGGGGGCCCUUGCUUCGCCCUGCCUGUUCCUGUUAGGCUGGCCUGCCAUUGCGAAAUGUACACCAUCGAUCUAUGUCUUCUUUCAUUUCAACUUCAAGGAUGGGGUCUUCUGGAGAGCGAGGGUUAGGGGUCUUUUCAGGCUGGAAGAAGAAGGAACAGUUAUGGGAAUGGGAACCCAUGAUCAUACUGGUGAUGGGGAACAGGGAUAACUUGUCAGUUACAUGAAUUUUCCGUGUUGAAGCAAGAUCCAGGCUGGCUGAAUCUGUUAGAAAACAAGAGCAUUUUCCCCUGAGCUUUUACUCAGUUUUCAAACCACCAACUCAUAUGUGAUUUUCCAGGUGAAUGAUUUUCUGCAUUCUGUCAACUUAUUUUAGUUGUGGUUGUGUUUGAUAUGCUGGCAUUCUGGAAGAAUCGCUACUGACACCCAGAAUCCAAUCAACACAUUCAGCUUUGCAAGACAGACACUCAGAAAAAAGUAGCAUUUUUAGGGCUGGAACAAAACUCACAGAUCAACUAAUCCCCCUCUCAUUUCAUAGAUUAAUAGGAGUGAUUGCUGAAGGUCACACAUCUAGUGAAGGUGAACUUGAGAUCAGAACUCAGGUGACCCUGCCUUGUAAACAGUGCUGCAAGCACUUUAUUCUGCAAUUUCAGUUUGGAUUCCCGUUGACUGGCCCAAAUAUACUACAUAAGAACUCAGAUCCUUUUCGUUUUCUCCCCGUGUAUUUGUCUUGGGAAGAAUUUACAGACUGUUUCCUGAGGUACCAGCAGUCAAAUUGGACAGAAUAAUAAACACAGAAGCACCUAAUGGUUUCUCUACACAAGACCAAGGUCAAUCCUGGAGUCCGCUGCUCCCCCCGCCUUUCACCUCAGAGAACAAACAUCAUGUAAAAUUAUCUAUUUUGAUUUGUUGAACUGAAGAGCCUUCCUCCCCUCCCCGCCUCUCCUUUCCCCUCCCUUCCUUCUUCCUCCUGCUUUGCCCUCCCUCAGCUCCCUCCUUCCUGUUCCUACAUUAGACUUGCAGUCGGAAUUUCUCUCUAGGACUGCCUUCCAGCCAAACUUCCGCCUGGCUUCUGCACACGUCAGCACAUUUUCCCCAUUCUGGCCUUCCUCUCUUCCCACCUCCCUCUGUGCUUUUGUUUCCAAAUUGCAGGUCUGUCAAAAUUAAUGAACUCAUUUAUUUGCUCUAUAUCAAAUGCACAUGGAAAUUACUGUAUUUCUAAAUAGGCUGAUAGUGCUGGGUAGACACAUUCUGAUCUCCUGAGAGCCACCACGGUACCUCUUUAUAACCUUGGGAAUGCUUAUGAGAACACGAUCAUGGAAAUGUGAGAGGCCUCUGACAAGACAGAAGGUUUUCUUGAUCUAUGCUUGCCUGGUCCCUUUAUUUCCUAUUUUGAGCAUGUUUGUGGCUCUACACAGAAAUCAGUGACGAAGUUAUACUGUGUGAUCAGUAUUCUAGAAGGUUGCCAAGGAAAAACCUGAGACACAUUAUUUUGCUGCCAGAGCAGGUGUUCUGCUUUGAGUUGUAACAUAACCAGUGAGCAAUAGCUCAUGAAAUGACCUUCUUUUCAACUUAUUAAAGGGCAAGCAUUUCUUGGAAAUCCAUAAAUUUCACUAAGCUCUAAAUCAAGACUGCCUCUACCAGAGCCUUCUCAAAAUCUCUUGCUCCAAUUUUGAUUUUCAUAGACUAGGGCACUAACCUGACCAUUUCUUCCUUUCACUUGCUAGGAAGCCAAGCUUUUGUGUGUAUUUCUUAAUGGGAAGUGUGUGCAGUGGGCUGAAUUAUCAGUCUGUCCUUCUCAGAUGUGACAGCGGGGAUGCGCAUGAGUCUCCUUACAUUCCAAGGCCAUGGACAGUCACCUUUUUGUUGGUCAAAAGGAGAACAAAGUCAAGUGACACUGGGAGAUGAGCUUCAACUAUUCCCACAGAUACCAACAACCCUCACCCACACCUCUGCCCCAGCUCUGGUCAGUAGCAUGAUCUAGGGACACACUUUUAAUCCCCAUAUUUACUUGGUUCUCUGGGUCAUUCCUUGACUCUUUCAGGAGGCAGUUUCUAUUCCAUGCUGAUCUGCCUGGAAGCCACAAAAUUCCAAAAUGCAAAAAUGUGAAUUGGAUGUGCCAGGACCAACCUUAGCCUUUUCCUCCACCACAUUGUCUUGCUCCUCCACUUCUGUAUGCAUGGCAGCCACACUCCCUUCCAGCACUGGGCACACGGUGCGGUCAAGGGAGGACGACAGCAGAAACUUUUCUUCUAUCAGCUCCAAAUUAAUGAGAUAAAAAGGGAGAAGAGGUGCUCCAAGGUUGCUCCAGCAUAAAAGGGACAUUGGAUCAAUAUGUCAAUGCUCCAUUAAUUACAGUUGGGAUAUAGAAGACAGGUCAAUCUCCUGAAUUAUUCCUGGUACCAUUCUUUCCUGGCCUCCUACCACACCACACUCUCCAAAAUCUCCAGCUUCAGCCCCAAGAUAAUCAAACAAGAUACACUGGAAACCAUCUUAUGGAUGAUGGGUCUGCGGGGGGAGAUCAAAAGGUUGUAAAGAACAGCCCUGCCGGAGUUCAGGUCAUGCUUUCAGCACUGACUCCUUUCAAAACUCAGUAAAAAAUUAAACGACUAAAUAUAAAUAAAUUAAUUAAUUAAUUUACUAAAUUUCUAAACUUACAGUAAAAUACCAGAUCAGAGCUAGUCAAGGAAGACAAUCUACCAUUUACAAGAAAAAUGAAGACUUCCAAUCAGACCUGCCAACAGCGGGACUGUAAUACUGUUUUCAUAUUUUCACUAAUUCCGAGAGGCCUUCUGAGAGGGUUGAUUUGAUCAAAGCUAUGAAAAGUAUUUUAACUCUUACAAAUUCUUGAACUCUAAAAUGGAUGGUACUCACGAUGUCACCACACUGACAUGGGCCCGCCAGAACGUCACACCUAAACGGAAAGAAAGCGCACACCUGAGGACGGUGGCGGAGUUAACCACCAUGAUGCCAGGGGCAAGGGCGCUCUGUGCUCCCACCGGGUAAAGCAGAAGCCAUGGAUGCCUCACAGUGGAGGGUGGAGAGAAGCUUCCAAGGGCAUCUGCAGCCUGGGGACUGCUGGGGCCGUGAGUCUGCGGCGUCCCUUACUACCUAAUGAGAAGAACACAAACGACCAAGUACCCUGGGACCGAUAUACACAACUCGAGCCUCCUUUGCCACCAGAACACAGCCUAGGCACUGUGCUGAGGGGAAGCAGAGAGCCGAACCAAAGCAGAAGAGCUACCCCCAGGAGUGAACUGGACGCUGAUGAGCACCUGCAGGAUGAAGGCUUCUCAGGGGAACCAGCAUCUGAUCUGGAAUCUUGAAAGAUAGCAUGUUCCCAGGGCAGAGAGGGCUCUCUAGGGAGAGACGUCAAUCCCCAAUGUUCACAGCACAGCCAAGUGUUGGAAUAACUUCAAAGCCCACCACCACCUUGCUUCGCCUCGGUCUUCCAGUCGCCCUGCUAGACUCAGCACCAUCCACACAGGGGCCACAUCAAUCCCCUCACAGUGCUUGGUACACAGAACUCAACUAUUUGCUGUUGAACAAAAAUCCAACAACCAACCUUAGAUGCAAAGCUAUGAGAGCCACAAAGAACGUUGCUACUUGAGGUUGCAGGCAGGGAAUUCUCUUUAUGCUUUCCUCCUUGAGUCUGUGGGCUCCAGGGUACAUAUAUUGCCCAGACUGGAGGCGCAGUGAAUGGUCUCAUGUAAAGUCUCAUACAAAUAAUGGGGUUGGUGCUGGAGUUCAAUACAAGUGAUGCUCCUCCCAGGACUCACACCAUGAGGACACCCGUGUAUCAGGCUGUUAAUCAUUCAGCAAUAUUGAUUUUGGCCUGACUCUGAGCUGGGCCCUGUGCUAUGCACUCAGGAAACCACAGUGGACAUGGCAGACUCAGGCCCUCAAGCCCUCAAGCUGUCAUAAUCAUUGUUACUGAGCUCUCUGGCCUCAGUUUCCUUAUCUAUGAAAAUGGGUGCAAUAACACCUAUCUCUCAGGGUCAAUGUGAGCCCUAAAUGCGAUAAAAUACUAAGAGCACUCAGGAAAAUGAUGUAGAAGAUUAAAUAUAUUAUUUUUAUAAUAUUUAUAUGUUGUUAUAUUAAUUAUAAUUAUAUUAUUAUUAAAUACUAAAUGAUUAUAUUUAUUAAAUAUUAUAUUGUUAUAAUAAACAAAUAUCAUUAGUUAUAAAUAAAUAUUUUUAUAUUAGUUUCCUAGUUAAAAAGCCUUAGUAUCUAAGAACUAAUAAAUGAAUUCAGUAAAGUAGCAGGAUACAACAUCCACCCACAAUAAUCAGUCGCAUUUCUAUAUACAAACAAGGAACCAUCUGAAAAAGAAAUUACAAAAACAGCCUCAUUUCCAAUAGCAUCAAAAAGAAUAAAAUACUUAGGAAUUAAGGAAGUUAAAGACUUGUACAAUGAAAACUACAAAACAUUGAUGAAAGAAAUUGAAGACAUAAGUAAAUGGAGACACAUCCGUGUUCACGGAUUGGCAGAUUUAAUAUUGUUAAAAUAUUUAACAUAAAAUAAAAUAAUUAAAAUACGCAAAGCAAUCUAGGAGUGCCUGGGUGACUCAGUCAGUUAAGCGUCUGCCUUCAGCUCAGGUCAUGAUCCCAGGACCGGGAUUGAGCCCCAUGUCGGGCUCCCUGCUCAGAAGGGAGUCUGCUUCUUCCUCUGCCUCUGCCCCUCCCCUCCCCAUUCUCUCUCUCAAAUAAAUAAAAUAAAAUAAAAUAAAAUAAAACUACACAAAGCAAUCUACAGACCCAAUGCAAUCUAAAUGGUAUUUUUUGCAGAAUUAGAAAACCCAUCCUAAAGUUUGUAUGGAAUUUCAAGGAACCCCAGAUAGCCAAAACUAUCUUGAAAAAGAAGAGCAAAAUUGGAGGACUCACGCUUCUCGAUUUUAAUACUUACUAUAAAACUACAAUAAUCAAAACAGUUUGGUACUGACAUAAAGACAGACAUGUAGACAAAUGGAAUAGCAUAGAAAGCCCAAAAAUGAACCCUCACAUUUAUGGUCAAAUGAUGUUUGAUAAAGGUACCAAAACUGUCCAAUGGGAAAAGGACAGUCUUUUCAACAAAUGGUGUGGGAAAACUGGAUAUCCACUUGCAAAAGAAUGAAGUUGGACCCUUAUCUAACACUACACAUAAAAAUUAACUCAAAGUGGAUAAAAGGCCUAAACUUAAAACCUAAAACAGUAAAACUCUUAGAAGAAAACAUAAGACAAAAACACCAGGACACUGGAUUAGGCAAUGAUUUCUGGGAUAUAACACCAAAGGCACAGGGAACAAAAUUUAAAAUAGACAAAUUGGACUUCAUGAAAAUUUUUAAAAAUGUGCACAAAAGACACUACCCAGAGUAAAAAGGCAGCCUACAGAAUGAGAGAAAAUAUUUGCAAGUCAUAUUUCUGAUAAGGGAUUAAUAGCCAGAAUAUAGAGUGAACUUCUAAAAUGCAAUAACAACAACAAAAACAAAAACAAAAAAACCUGAAGCAAAAGUGGGUAAAGGACUUGAACAGAUGAUUUUCCAAAAAAGAUAUACAAAUGGCUGAUAUGCACAUGAAGAGAUGCUCAACAUCACUCAUCAUUAGGGAAUGGCUAAUCAAAACCACAAUGAGAUACUGCCUCACACCCGUUAGGAUGACUAUGAGAGAAAGAAGAAAGAAAGAAGAAAGAAAGAAAGAAAGAAAGAAAGAAAGAAAGAAAGAAAGAAAGAAAGAAAGAAAGAAAGAAAGAAAGAAAGAAAGAAAGGAAAGAAAAGAAAAGAACAAGUGUUGGCAAGGAUGUGUAGAAAUGGGGACCUUGUGCAUUAUUGGUGGGAAUGCAAACUGGUGCAGCCACUGUGGAGGACAGUAUGGAGGGUCCUCAAAAAAAUUAAAAAUAAAACUACCACAUGAUCGAGCAAUUCCACUUCUGGGUAUAUACCCCAAAUCAUUGAAGAGCAGAGUCUUGAAGAGAUAUUGUACACCUAUGUUCAUAGCAACAUUAUUCACAAUAGCUAAAAUGUGGAAACAACCCGAGUGGCUACUGAUGGGGAAACAGAUAAGCAAACUGCGGUAUAUCCACACACAGUGGAGUAUUAUUCAGCCUUAAAAAGGAAGUAAAUUCUUUAACAUGCUACAACAUGGAUGAAACUUGAGAAGAUUAUGCUAAGUGAAAUAAGCCAGUCACAAAAAGAAAAAUACUGUAUGAUUCCACUUACAUGAAGGACUUAGAGUAGUCAAAUCAUAAAGACAGAGGUGUAAUGGUGGUUGCACAGGCUGCAGGGAGGGGACAAUUGGGAGCUGGUGUUUAGCAAGGACAGAGUUUUAGGUGGGGAUGAUGAAAAGUUCUGUAGAUGGGCAGUGGUGAUGGUUCAUGGCCACAUACGUGUAUCUAAUACCAUUGCAUUGUACAUUUGCUGUGUGUAUUUUACCACGAUAAACAUAGAAAGAGGAGGAG